rnacentral:rRNA from 1 species
UACGUAGGUGGCAAGCGUUGUCCGGAAUUAUUGGGCGUAAAGCGCGCGCAGGUGGUUUCUUAAGUCUGAUGUGAAAGCCCACGGCUCAACCGUGGAGGGUCAUUGGAAACUGGGGAACUUGAGUGCGGUAGAGGAGAGUGGAAUUCCCGGUGUAGCAGUGAAAUGCGUAGAGAUCGGGAGGAACAUCAGUUGCGAAGGCGGCUCUCUGGACCAGCACUGACACUGAGGCACGAAAGCGUGGGGAGCAAACAGG